UCCUUAAACAUUACCCAUCUCAUCCCUAAACACAUAGCUUAACAUCUACUCUCCAACAUCGCCCCGGGCUGUCAGCUCACGGCUGGACUGCUACGGUAGUCUUCGGCGGCUCGUUAUGGCUCCUCCAUCGCUGCACACCGCACCUCAAAGCCUACACCAUAGCUGACCAUUGUAUUCAGCCUCGUCGACAACAUACAGACCCUGUUUUGGACGUCUUGGCCACUCCAGCCUGGCCAUGGUAAUGGCCGUGUAGUGGCGGCAGUUCCUGGACUCGCAGUCCGGGUAAGGAAGUUGACCUUCACCCUUUUUUUAUAUUUCAAUGCAUACAUGUGUAACUCUUUCAUGAUGUUGUUUGGUAUUAGCAUUAGGCUUAUGUUUUCUAUGUCGUGUUGUUUGGUUUGAUUUAUUUUUAGUGUAUUUAUGUUAUCCAUUUGGUUCUUUU